AAUAUCUUUGUUCCGUCGGCUUUUGGUUCCGACUUCCGAACAUUGUAUUUCAACUCCUCAACUUUGUUUCGAAGGAAUCUUGACUCUUGCCGACUCUGUGUCCGGAGGAGUCUCGACAUCUAUGGGCUUUGAGUAUUUGAAAUUAAGCUUGAAUGAUCAAUGAAAAGAUUGAGAUCAUUAAACAACAAAACUGGAUAAGAAUAAUAUUAGAUUUUUCAUAUUUUCAAUAUUCAAAUUUGACAAAUUCAAGUUUUUUCGUUGGUGAACUAAAAAGCCUUGAAUUAAAAUGUUCCUACCUCUCGGCCUUCUAUAAAUCC